rnacentral:lncRNA from 1 species
CGAAGGGCUCGGAGCGAGCCCCAGCGCCAGCGAGCAGCGCAUCCCCGGCUGUGCCGGGAGCUCGGGAGCAGCUGGGGAGGUUUGUGGGGAUGUGGAUGGCCACGGGAUGGCGUCUCCUGGCUUGCAAAGCUCAGGACGGUGCUUGGUGAGCAGCGCUAACACUGCCUGAAGUGCUCUGACCUGCACUGACCCUGCAGCUUCUGCUGCUAGAAACUUCUAAUGGUUUUUUUUCCCUUUUCGCUUACAAAGUAAGCUCUUCCUUUCAAAGUCAACACUAACUUACCAGAGUGAGGGUUUGCACUUCUUCGUGCUACUAACCUUGAAGCUGAUUUAAAAAAAGGUUCUCUGUGUCUGUAAGGAUAACACAACCCUGUGCUAGAGGGGACUUGGAUCAAAUUUACUGACAACCUGAAAUGAAUGAAUAGGCCCUGCUCACAGCAAGAGAGUUUUCCUAGGAGUGCAUUGCACAUUGGCUGUUUUCCCAGCCCCAUGGAGCCUUUCAGGAGCCUGCUGUGGCACGUUUUGGUUGGAUUUAGGGGAUUGCAGUGUACAAGCCGGGGUUUUUCCCAAGUGCUGAUGCUGCAGUGUUCCCAUCAGACCGCACGCAGGAAGCAUCUUCAUGUUAUUUCUCUGAGUGGGCACACACAGCCCCAGAUCUUGGAGAAUGUACAGCAGCUUCAGCUCUGUAACCUGCAGCACACAGGGAAUGUCUGCCUGCAUGGAGAGAGCCCUGCUCUGGUGCCCUGUCCAGGCUGCCAGACCAGGAGGAUCCCUGGGGUUGCCUGA